GAUGAACGCUGGCGGCGUGCCUAACACAUGCAAGUCGAACGAAGCACCUUACCUGAUUCUUCGGAUGAAAGUUUGGUGACUGAGUGGCGGACGGGUGAGUAACGCGUGGGUAACCUGCCCUGUACAGGGGGAUAACAGCUGGAAACGGCUGCUAAUACCGCAUAAGCGCACGAGGAGACAUCUCCUUGUGUGAAAAACUCCGAUGGUACAGGAUGGGCCCGCGUCUGAUUAGCUGGUUGGCAGGGUAACGGCCUACCAAGGCAACGAUCACUAGCCGGGCUGAGAGGCACAGCGGCGACACUUGAAGUGGGACGCGGUAGAAAAUCCUACGGGAGGCGGCAGUGGGGAACAGUGCAAAAUGGGGGGAGCCAUGAUGCAGCAACGCCGCGUGAGUGAUGAAGUAAUUGGGUAAGUAAUGUGUUAGCAGCAAGGAAGAUAAUGACGGUACCUGACUAGGAAGCCACGGCUAAAUACGUG
rnacentral:rRNA from 1 species